GGCGGUGCCGCCGCUGUUGCCGUCCGGUGCCGCAGGAGAAGGUCGCCCGCUCGCUCGCUCGCUCCGGGGGAUUCCCAGGAUCUCGCUCAGCCGCUCGCACCGUCCCGAGCACUCGGGGACAUGUCGAGGUGGGCGGAGGCCCGGUGGGCCGGCGCCAGACGGCGGACGGCGGCCGCGGCACACUCGCCCUCCUCGAGCUUUCCCCGGAGACGCCUCCCUUUACACGCACCCCGAGCCUGAAGGCGCUGCCACGGCGAAGAGGCACCGAUAAGGAGCAGGACGCGCCGUUCUCCCCCGGUGUUCCCAAUUCCCAGAAAUUCACGUUCCCCGUUCCCUCCCCUCGUCUCUCCCCGGGGCUCAGCUGCUGCACCGGGGGAGCUGCCCCGGGAAUUUUCCCGGGAAUCUCGGGGGUUUCCCGGGAAUUUCCCCGCCCGCCGGGGGAGGAUGAAGCUGCUGGAGAACUCGAGCUUCGAGGCCAUCAACUCCCAGCUCACCGUGGAGACCGGGGACGCCCACAUCAUCGGCAGGAUCGAGAGCUACUCGUGCAAGCUGGCUGGCAUCGACAAGCAGCUCUUCAAGCAGUUCUGCCAGGAGGGGCAGCCCCACGCGCUGGAGGCGCUGAGCCCCCCCCAGAGCUCCGGCCUGAGCCCCGGCAGGCAGGGGGAGGGCCCGCUCAGCGACACGUGCAGCCGCAAGACGCUGUUCUACCUGAUCGCCACCCUGAACGAGGCCUUCCGGCCCGACUACGACUUCAGCGCCGCCAAGAGCCACGAGUUCAGCCGCGAGCCCAGCCUCAACUGGGUGGUGAAUGCUGUGAACUGCAGCCUGUUCUCGGCCGUGCGCGAGGAUUUCAAGGCGCUGAAGCCGCUGCUGUGGGACGCGGUGGAUGAGGAGAUCUGCCUGGCCGAGUGUGACAUCUACAGCUACAACCCGGACCUGGACUCGGAUCCCUUCGGGGAGGACGGCAGCCUCUGGUCCUUCAAUUACUUCUUCUACAACAAGAGGCUGAAGAGGAUCGUCUUCUUCACCUGCCGCUCCAUCAGUGGCUAUGCCUACACCCGGCCGGACACCGGCACCGAGCUGGACAUGGACCUGGGCGAGGGGGACACCGAGAAGGGCGACAGCGGCGACCCCGAGGGCGGCGCCAUCGAGGAGGACAGGCUGCAGGUGAUGUGCAUGUGAGAUUCCUGGUGGGAUCCGAGACACCAGGAACGGAACCGGCAAAGGGAACGGAACCAGCAAUGGGACUGGAAAUGGACUGGGAACCAAACCAGCACCAGGAACGGGACUGGGAACGGAACCGGGACUGGGAACGGAACCAGGAAUGGGCCCGGGACUGGGAACGGAACCAGGAAUGGAAGUGGGAACAGAACCAGCACUGAGAAUGGAACCAGCACUGAGAACAGAACCAGGACUGGAACUGGGACUGGGAACAGAGCCAGGACCGGAACCGGGACUGGGAAUGGAACUGGACCUGGGAAUGGAACCAGACCUGGGAAAGGAACCAGGGCUGGGAAAGAAACUGGGAAUGGAACCAGGAAUGUAACCAGCACUGGGAGUGACACCAGGAAAGGAACCAGGAACGGAACCAGCGCCAGGAAUGGAACCAGGAGCAGAAGUGGCACCAGGAAAGGAACCAGGAACAGAACCAGGAAUGCAACCAGAAGCAGGAACGGAACCAGAACUGGCACCAGGAAAGGAACCAGGAACAGAACCAGGACUGGCAACCAGACCAGCAUUGGCACCGGGAAUGGAGCCAGGAACAGAACCGGGAAAGGACCUGGCCCUGUCGCAGCGCCGCUGGUCCUUCCUGAGCCGUGUCCCCCCUGUCCCGGUGUCACGGUGUCCCCGUGUCCCCCCCUGGACGCUGGAGCCCCCCAGGAAUCCCGGAGCCCCAGAAGCUUCGCUGCACUUUAUGGCUCCUGCCCUCGGCUGCACUGAUCCCCGUCCCACCUGCCCAGGCUCCUGACGGGCUCCAUCCGUCCAUGCCGGCCCUGCCCGGGGCAAAACCCCAAAUCCCACCCCAGGAACUGCCCCCCUGCCCCCCCUCCCGAGUCCGUGUGUUUCAAGAGUUUGGCUUUGCUCUGUGUCUGCUCCAGCUCUGCUUUUCCUGCUGGGAGCUCACCUGGGUGAGAUCCAGGUGAGCCCUGUGCCUGAGGCCGGCUGGGCCCAGCUGCACCUCCCUGGGAUAUGGGAUCUGGAUCAGGGGGAUCCCAUCUGCACCUCCCACCUCUCACCUGGGUGAGAUCCAGGUCCAGGGUCCAGCUGGCCACGCACAAGGAGGGGCCACUGAGCCCCCCCAAAGCCCCUCCUGCCCCCCCAGUUGGGGGCAGUUCUGUGGGGAUCCUGUUGUUGUCACCAGCAGCUCUCCCAGCCCCAUGGGAGUCAGUUUGUGCUCCCCCAAAUUCCCUGGGGGGAUUGUCCCAGUUCCUUCAUUCCCCCUAAACUCCCCCUGGAAAUUUGGAAUUCUACACAUUUGCAGUGUCCUGCCAAUAAAAGAUUUCUGGGAUUUUCCUGGGGGGUUUCCCUGGGAUGUCGCUGUUACCAC